rnacentral:lncRNA from 1 species
CAGAAACCAAAAUCUACAAUGACACCAAAAGACCAAAAGCUCUUUCAUUCACAGCCUGGGAUGCAAGUCAAUUAAUUUGCACGUGGACAAGAAUAUCGUUUCUCAACUCUAAAUCUCAGAACGUGUUACAAACUUGCAAUAUAUAAGUGUACCCUACUAAUAACAAUCAUACAUAUUCUCACCUGUAACUUAACAGACUACAGCUUUACAGUGGAAAAAUACAAACUC